GACGGAGGGUGCAAGCGUUGUUCGGAAUUACUGGGCGUAAAGGGCGCGUAGGCGGUCCGCUAAGUUCGGUGUGAAAUCCCCCGGCUCACCUGGGGAAUUGCGUCGGAAACUGACGGACUAGAGUACCGGAGAGGAAGGUGGAAUUCCUGGUGUAGCGGUGAAAUGCGUAGAGAUCGGGAGGAACACCGGUGGCGAAGGCGGGUCUCUGGGCAAUUCCUGACGCUGAGGCGCGAAAGCGUGGGGAGCAAACGGG
rnacentral:rRNA from 1 species